CGGGAUAGUCUCUCACGGUAGAGC
rnacentral:miRNA from 2 species